UUUAUUAAAAACAUGGCCUUUUGAUUAUAAUUUAAGGUCUGGCCUGCCCAAUGAUGUAAAAAUUAAAUGGCCGCGGUAAUUUGACCGUGCAAAGGUAGCACAAUCAAUAGUUUUUUAAUUGAAAGCUGGAAUGAAAGGUUUGAUGAGGGGGUUACUGUCUCUGUCUUAAUUUUAUAGAAUUUUAUUUUUAAGUAAAAAAGCUUAAAUUUAUAUAGAAGACGAGAAGACCCUAUAGAGUUUUAUAGUUUUUAUUAUUUGAUUAAGUUAAGUAUAUUUAAAAUUGAAUAAUAAAAUUUAUUUAGUUGGGGUGAUUGAAAAAUUAGAAAAACUUUUUUUUUAUUGUAACACUGAUUUGUGAUUAAUUGAUCCUUUAUUUGAGAAAAAAGAUUAAAUUACCUUAGGGAUAACAGCGUAAUUUUUUUUUAGAGUUCUAAUCGAAAAAAGAGAUUGCGACCUCGAUGUUGGAUUAAAAGAAAUUAUUGGUGUAGGAGCUAAUAAAUUGGGUCUGUUCGACCUUUAAAAUUUUACAUGAUCUGAGUUUAAACCGGCGUGAGCCAGGUCGG
rnacentral:rRNA from 1 species